rnacentral:lncRNA from 1 species
CGAGAGGAGGCGUGCUCAGGGAGGCUGCCUCCUCUUUCCCGCAGUCCCGCAGUGUAGGGGAGAAAUAGGAGCCACACGAUGGUUUUGAUAAGGAAACCAGGUUCACUGAAAGUCAGAUCAAGAUAUUAUAAGAAUUCAGCUGAGAUUCACAUCCAGAUCUGACCAACCAACACACUUUCCUCUGGGACGUCAGUGUAUUUCACGUGCAGGCUCUGGCUUUUUGGAGUUGGGAACGAUUUGUAGAUGUGGAACCACAGGUGGAAAAAAGCCCAUGGCAGCAAUAUGGCCCAGAAAUCCCUGGGCGGCUGCUCCUGAAGCAGGAUCCCCCCGGGGAGACAAGGUAGUGUCGUCAGAGGGAACAACGUGUAGACAGGCCUGAGUUCUGUCCACUCACUGAAGACCCGGAUGUGGGAGAUCGCUCUCCCUGAAUUGUGAGCCCACACCCCUGCAGGCUUUCCGUCUCUCACGUUGCUCACACUGUGCCACGGUGCUGUCUGACGACGGAAACUGUGAUAAAACUGUGUUCGGAGUGUUUAUCCUUUAUUUAUGAUUUAAGAUAUUUCCAGGAAUUAUGGAAUAGGAGGAUAUGUUACUACCCAGCAAUAUUCUUUAAAACAAAAUGCUUAGGGAAUUUAUAAAAAUUUGCCUGGAUCUUUGCCUUACAAAUGGAAUGGCAGAAAGGCUAGUGCAUCAAUUAGGCAAGUUUCCACCCUGUACAUAGAGCAACGCUACUGACACCACUGGGGUCAGGGCACGUGUGGUGAGCAGCUUUUGAGUCGUAGGAGGGCUUACGUGAUCCAUCUGCACUACUGACCUCUAGUUAAGAUGCGGUCAUCCAACUGACCAGCAAACUUCUACUGAUAGCUACUAUAUGCCAGGUACUAUGCGACACAGCGGGGAUACUGACUGGAGUAAGACACGGCCCUUUAUGCUCAACGAGAUGAUAUCCACUAGGGGGA